rnacentral:rRNA from 1 species
CCAGGGGGCCGCCUUCGCCACCGGUAUUCCUUCAGAUCUGUACGCAUUUCACCGCUACACCUGAAAUUCUACCCCCCUCUACAGUACUCUAGUUUGACAGUUUCAAAUGACCUUCCGAGGUUGAGCCCCGGGCUUUCACAUCUGACUUAACAAACCACCUGCAUGCGCUUUACGCCCAGUAAUUCCGAUUAACGCUCGCACCCUCCGUAUUACCGCGGCUGCUGGCACGGAGUUAGCCGGUGCUUCUUCUGUCGCUAACGUCAAAUAAUAAAAGUAUUAAUUCUAUUACCUUCCUCACGACUGAAAGUACUUUACAACCCGAAGGCCUUCUUCAUACACGCGGCAUGGCUGCAUCAGGCUUGCGCCCAUUGUGCAAUAUUCCCCACUGCUGCCUCCCGUAGGAGUCUGGGCCGUGUCUCAGUCCCAGUGUGGCUGAUCAUCCUCUCAGACCAGCUAGGGAUCGUCGCCUUGGUGAGCCAUUACCUCACCAACUAGCUAAUCCCACAUAGGCGUAUCCAAACGCACAAGGCCCGAAGGUCCCCUGCUUUGCUCCAAAGAGAGUAUGCGGUAUUAGCCAUCGUUUCCAAUGGUUAUCCCCCUCGUCUGGGCAACUUCCUAUGCAUUACUCACCCGUCCGCCGCUCGACGCCGAAUAGCAAGCUAUUCUCGUUUCCGCUCGACUUGCAUGUGUUAGGCCUGCCGCCAGCGUUCAAUCUGAGCCAGGAUCAAACUCU